AUAUUUAGGGAUAAAUCCAACGAAAGAUGUAUAAAACCUAUAUACUGAAAACUAUAAAACACUGCUGACAGAAAUUAAGACUUAGGCUGGGCGCGGUGGCUCAUGCCUGUAAUCCCAGCACACAUGAAUGAAUCUCAAAGUAAUUGUGUUGAAUGAAAUCUGUAAUAGGAAGCAGAUCGGUGGUUACCUAAGGAUCCGGAAGAGGAGCAGGGAGGAAUAAGAGGGAAUAAAACAGGUCAUGAGGAAAUUUUGGGGUGAAGAACAUGUUCAUUAUCCUAAUAGUAAUGAUGGUUUUGGGGUUUAUACAUAUGUCAAAAUUAUAGGAUUGUACAUUUCAAAUA
rnacentral:lncRNA from 1 species